ensembl:lncRNA
UCUUUUGCACCCGCACAUUCCCCUGCUUUCUUUUCUCUUAUUGUCAGUAAUGGUAUUUUCAUUUACUCUCCUCUUUUUUUCUUAUUUUUCUAUACAGUGUUUGGAGACAUUUUAUGUGUGAAGUAUUACUUUGAAUCAAAUGUCAAACUCAUUCUAUAGAAGGCCGGGUUUCUGCAGGUUUUCACUCCACCCUUGAUUGAUGAAUUAAGGUCACUAAUUAGUUAGAAACUCCUCUCACCUGGUUGUCUAGGUCUUAAUUGAAAGGAAAAAACUAAAACCCGCAGACACUCGGCCCCCCAUGGAAUGAGUUUGACACCCCUGUAUUAAAUAAAUGUUGAUUUGACCAGGGGCCGUCUGCCAGGUCCUGACCACCAGGGUGGGAGACAUCCUGAACAGUACCUGCAACGACGAUUGCAAGGCCAGGCUCAUCAUCCAGAAAGGUACACUUAUAACCUGUUUUACCCAUAUGACCAGUAAUAACAGUGUAAUAACCUGUGUAAUAACCCGUGUAUUACCAUUAUAGUAAAUGUGCUAGAUACUGCAUAGUGUUAUACAUGAAUGUGGCUUUGAACCAUUUCAGAAUAUGAGUGUAUUUUCUUAGGAUUGGAUUCCGGUGCCAGGGAAAGGUUCCCUGACUCUCCGUGUCCCUCUUCACCCAAGGACGAAGAGGAGGUGGUUGUGAGUGCCAUGACUGUCUCAUACCCUAAACCCUCCACCUCAACCCAGGCAGCAUGGGCAGCUCCUGCCCAGACUCUGGACGUUUUUCUGCCCAGACCAUGCCUGGAUGAAGAAGAGGUAGUGCCCAGCACCUCCUUGAAGGACAACUCUGUGACAACCACCCAUGCAGCACUGGCAGCUCCUUCCCAGAGCCUGGAAGAAGAGGUGGGAGAAGCUGAGGUGUCCCACGUGAGUGAGAGCUCCCUGAUGCCCACCAAGGCCAUUGAGAAGAUUCCCUCCCUCCUACCAGGCAAGAUCCUUAUCGAGGAGGACACCCUCAGUUGCAGCACUCCCUGGGCCACCGUCAUGAGCCCCCAGACCCUGAAAUUCAUCCUCCACGGCAUCAUGUGCCGACUGGAGGCCUCAGAGUCCCCCCAGACAAGGAGGGCCAAUGACCCCUUCAGGCUGAUGAAGGAUCUCUUUCUGGAGGUCCAGCAUGCCCUGAAGUAUGCUGACAUCUCUGUCCUCUUUGGCCUGGAGGAGAGCAUCCAAUUCAUUGGGGAGGAUGCGGUGAAGGCCAUCGUGAAGACUGCAGCUAAAAGAUUGUCCCUGCGUUCGGACUCCAACCGGGCUCAACUGCGUGCCGCGCGCUCUGGUGGUGAGGCAGCCAUCAGGUGCAUGGCGGACACCAUCACACAAGUCAUAGAUGACUAUUCCGAGGACUGGAGUUCCGGUGGCCAUUUUGGAGCCAGGAGGAGCCGUGCUAGUGGGAGGUCACACUCCUCAACCUCCUCAAGGAGUGACGUCACCCUCACCGAGGAGCUCCUGGCCCGGAGGGAAUCCCUUGAAGAGGACCUAGCGGAGAUGGCUGAUGACAGCACUGGUUUGGAGAAGACCAUUGUAAGCUCAGCCAUCUCUGCCAAGUCCCAGGUAAUUAGCUACAUUUCAGACAGCUCCGAGCCCAACAGCUGUGCCCUCUUCACAGACCUCGAGGACAUCACCUCCACACAUGUGAGACAGACAAGAACUAGUAGAUUGUUUAGUUAUUUGGGCUGUUUGAUUGUGAGGCAUCAACUCAAAUCUGUUUCUCUCUCUACGAAGGAGAAGGAGAAGGAAGAGGCUAUGAAGGAAGAAGUGAGGAAGUCAGGAAAGAAGAGGCGAAGAAAUAACAAGGACCAGAAGAAGAACAAGGUGUCUCCUCUUGGCAAUGAUAGUACUGUGGCUGCAGAUGAGCCGAAGAAAAAACAGGCUCUCCUCCCGCGGAUCACAGCUGCCCUGGCAAGACUAUUUUGCUUCCCCUGCAAAAAAAGAUGCAAAAAGUAACUGCAGAGACGAGUUUGGGAAACCCUGAUACCACCUCCCCCAACCAACUUUCUAAAAAAACAUCAGUGCCACCAGAAGAGGGAGACAACCCCCCCUAUUCACAACUAAUUUGAUUACCCCCCCAUUUAUUUAAUAAACACAACUUUCAGCUAUUUUGAUCUUCUUUACUUUUUUUUUUACAGACCCACCUGCAUGCUAUAGAUUCGUAAGGUCAAUUUGCUGUGUACUGUCUACAGUAUCAUUGUUAUGAGUAAGUUC